UACGGGGGGGGGCAAGCGUUGUUCGGAAUUACUGGGCGUAAAGGGCUCGUAGGCGGCCAACUAAGUCAGACGUGAAAUCCCUCGGCUUAACCGGGGAACUGCGUCUGAUACUGGAUGGCUUGAGUUCGGGAGAGGGAUGUGGAAUUCCAGGUGUAGCGGUGAAAUGCGUAGAUAUCUGGAGGAACACCGGUGGCGAAGGCGGUUCUCUGGGCCUUACCUGACGCUGAGGAGCGAAAGCGUGGGGAGCGAACAGG
rnacentral:rRNA from 1 species